AUGGCUCAGGAUGAACGCUAGCGGCAGGCUUAACACAUGCAAGUCGAGGGGCAGCGGGAUGUAGCAAUACAUUGCCGGCGACCGGCGGAUGGGUGCGUAACGCGUAUGCAACCUACCUUAUACAGGGGAAUAACCUUUCGAAAGGGAGACUAACACCCCAUAGUAUUGAUUUAAGGCAUCUUAGAUUAAUUAAAUAUUUAUAGGUAUAAGAUGGGCAUGCGUAUGAUUAGCUAGUUGGUAAGGUAACGGCUUACCAAGGCGACGAUCAUUAGGGGUUCUGAGAGGAAGGUCCCCCCACACUGGUACUGAGACACGGACCAGACUCCUACGGGAGGCAGCAGUGAGGAAUAUUGGUCAAUGGGCGCAAGCCUGAACCAGCCAUGCCGCGUGCAGGAAAAGACGGCCUUAUGGGUUGUAAACUGCUUUUACAUAAGACUAACCGUAUAUUUGCGAAUAUACCUGAAUGUAUUAUGAGAAUAAGGAUCGGCUAACUCCGUGCCAGCAGCGGC
rnacentral:rRNA from 1 species